rnacentral:rRNA from 1 species
UAAAGUUGUUGCAGUUAAAAAGCUCGUAGUUGAAUUUCGGGAUCAAUAUGUUGGUCGUGCCUUGGUACGUACUAAUUUAUUGGUUUCUUCCUUCUGACAAACCAUGAUGUCAUUAAUUUGGUGUCAUGGGGAAUCAGGACUGUUACUUUGAAAAAAUUAGAGUGUUUAAAGCAGGCUCACGCUUGAAUACAUUAGCAUGGAAUAAUGAAAUAGGACGUUUGAUUCUAUUUUGUUGGUUUCUAGGAUUGACGUAAUGAUUAAUAGGG